GAUCCUCCUCCUCCCCCCAAAACCCUAGCCCCACAUCGAUCGUUCUCCCUUCCUCUUUCUCUCUCUCUCUCUCUCGCGAGAAACGAUUUGAAUGCUUCAUAGAUGCAAUUGAUGCGUUCAGAUCCCGUUUUAUGUGUAGAUCGCGUAAUUGAUAUCACCAUCUUUUUCCUCUUUUCUGAGGUAUUGAGUAGAUUCGAUUCUCGAGUAGAGUCGUGCUUCGAUUUGAGACGAUCUUAACCUUGCUUUGAAUGGGUAAUGAUUUCUAGGGAGUAUAUGGCAGUUUACAAGUUGUCAAUCCUUUGAGAGGGAAUUCUCAGGGCUAAGCUGUUGGUUAGAUAAAACUUUAAGAAUUUGGGGGGGGGAAUAAGAAGCUACGUGACGUAGAAAUAGCGAUGCUGAUGUUUUGUGAUGCUUCCUCUUCUACACAUUUCCUAGAGACUCUGCUUCCUUUAAUUUUCCUAAGUGGGUGAGCUAACAGCAGUGGGUUUAUAUAGGCGAACUUCUGGGAAGUGAUUCCAUGGCUGCGUCUCAUCUUACCUCUUGACAGGCUAUAUUCAUGUUACUGUAUUCCUGUUAUAUAUGACCUAUGCAAUGUUUGAGACUUAUAAGGAACUUCUAUAUGUCGUAUGGAUAUUUCAUAGUUAUUUAAAGGUGUAUUAAUGUUAAAUCCUGGUUUCAAAAUGCCAUUGUGCGUCGCAUGUGAUGUUUUGACAGCUUUGUAAACCCCAAAAUGAGGUUUUAAAGAUUGAUUAGUCGCAUUAAUUGGCAGACGAACACUAUAGAAUAUGUUGAUUGUUGGUUGCUUUGUGCAUCAACUAGGUUUAGCUGGCGCACAAUUGCAUGUUUCAUGUGUCCAUAAAUGCAUCUUUGGCAUCAUAUAUUUUCGUAAUAUUCCUCUAGCCACUCAUUUAACAAGUUAUUGUAGCCAGGUAAAAUGCUAGGGGCUUUUUUUUUUUUUUUUUGCAAUUCGACCGUUUGGAGAUUUUACUUGCAGCUGUCAUAAGUAUCAGCGGAGUUUUUGUUUUCUGAAAGUUGUCUCAGUAGUAGCAGUUUAUCUCCACAGAUUUCAGAAAAUAGCUGCAAAGCCCCUUAAAUGCUGAUAGAUGAUGUUAAAGCUCUUUUUUUUUUUUUUUUUUACUGUUAUGUUAAAGCAAUUAUUUUGUUCAUUUGCAUUUUUUUUUAUUUGGGUUCUCUCUUUACCCUAAAUGGCAAAGCAAUAUGUUAGAAGAAAAAAGUUUUCAUGAUAUGAUAAAAAAGAUCGCAUAGCGGAGUGGAUAUCGCGUUAGACUCCGGAUCUAAAGGUCGUGGGUUCGAAUCCCACUGCGAUCGAUUGAAACACCUCACGAGUCUUUUUCCUCUUAUAUUUUUCUUAGUUUUGUCUUUCAGACACUGGAAUUUACAUUUCAAGUUGCAGGAUAAUGUUGCGAGUCUCAUAUUAUUUUCCACUUGUGGACAAUGUUGGUCCCCUGCAUCUCUAUCAGUAGCCUCAGUCACAAGCCUGUGCCCCUGUGCUUGUGCUCUAUUUUCUCUCUCCUUUUAUUUGCUUUUGGCUGUGAUUAAGAGAGAAGUUGGCAUUACAUUGAAGUCACCAGGGAAACGGUCAAUGCAUUGUUGAUACUUGAUUGUAACUUGUUUUUAAAUUUUAUUAACAUCUCUUUGGUCUUAGAAGGUCACAUACUCUUCAGUGUGUAAUAAACUCAGAGCACCCCGCAAUCAUUUGCAGCAAUUUUAUGAAGUAUAUAUUAAUAUA